GCAAAUACGUCAAGUUCUUUUCCAGUGCGGGGAUAUAUUUCUUUCGAGAUGUAGAAUCGGCAAAAUAGUCCAAUGGGUCAUGUUUACUAGGACUUUUAAGACUGAACUUGAUUCGAAUCGAUGCACGGUGCCAUCCAGCAUAUUCAGAAUACUGCUGCCCAACUCAUCGACAAUCAGCUGAAAAACAUCUCUUCAUCUUCCUUCCAUGGCUACCAAUCUUGGACCAAAUAAAAUACAAAUCUCUAGUC